CCAACAAUAACUUCAUAUUCUUUCCCCCAACUUAUUGAACUACCCACAUUCAUCUUUUUCUACCACAAUUUGUAAAACAACCACUAAGUAACGCAUGUUUCACUUCUUCUUUCACCAUUAUAAAACGAGUUUUUUUCAACAUUGUACAACGAACAAAUCUUUAAUAUUCUCCCAUACAAUCGCUCCUCACACAGUUUAUUGGUGUUUGUAUUUUCUCACAUACAAUUGCUCCUCACACAAUUAAUGGUGUUCGUAUUGAUAGCAAUUUACCAAGUGGUGAUGAAGAUGAUAAUGAUUUUGUAUCUAGUGGACAUCAAAAUUUAGAUGAUGAAGAUGAUGCUGAUAAUGAAGAUGAUGGGGAAACGGUUAGAGCGGAGUGGUUAAAUACCCAAGCAGUUGUAGGUGAUUGUGUAACACCCCGAAUUCGGUUAAUUGAAUUUAGUUGUAUUUUAUUUAAAAUAUUAAGUGAUUUAUAUGUUUUUAUUUGGAUAAUUUGUGAAUAUAUGUGUCAAGGUGAGUAUUGGAGAGAGUUAAGGGAAUGGUAUAAAUUAAUUGGAAUAUUUUAAUUAAUUUAAAUUGAGUGGAAUAAUUAAAAAUAAGCUAGUUGUAAAAAAAAGAGAAAUAAUAGAAUUUAGUGGAAAUUUGAGUUAUUAGAAUUAAAAAUUAAAAUAAAAUAAAAAUUAGAGUUAGUAAAGGGAAUAAGGAAAAUAUAGAAAAUAUGGGAGUAAAAUCGAUGCUAGUAAAACUGUGAAAAAUACUGAACAUAAUGUUAGAUGAAACCUAUUAUUUUCUCCGAUAGUUUUCUCCAUAACUUUUGUUAUGUAAAUCCAAAUAUGGUAUGGUAUGAAUCAUUUGAAAACUAACACUAAUGACUAUCCCAUAGUGAUUUAUUAAGAGGUUGUGUUCUAGUUCACCUUCUUAGGCCGGUUAUAUUUUGGUCAUUUGGCACAAUAGGAUUUGUAUUGUGUAUAGGUUUUGCAGGGUUAGGACUAUCAUGAUGGACAUCUAUACUGUUUGGUGCAAAAUCAUCAAUAUCAUAAGGUUUUGCAGGGUUAGGACUAUCAUGAUGGACUUACAGUUGAAGAACCUUGGGUGCAGCCUAACAAAUUCUUCAGUUGAAACACACGAGGACCUUUCUUUUGCUGAAAUAGGUCUUGAAGAUCUUUCCAUAUUUCAGCAGCAUUUGCUGCAUAGAUCACACUUGCAGUGAUUUCCUUGGAGACUGAGUUAAGAAGCCACGACGACAUGGUACUAUGGUUUCUCAUCCAAGAACGAAACUUAGGUGAAUUUUCUUCUGGUUUUGGAGUCGUGCCAUCCACAAAACCAGUCCUGUUCUUGCCAUCAAGAACCAUGAUCAUCGCGUGACGUCAUGAAUUGAAGUUGUCCCCGGAGAGUGGUUGAGAAACCAAGACGACGCCAGGAUGAGCGGAUGAACGAAGGUAAUAGGGAUCAUCGUGAUUAGCCAUGAAACCAGAUGAUCAUGGAAGAAGAGAAAGAAACAUGAUGAACGAAAUCACAAAGCGAAACACGGAAGCGGAAUCAAAAAAUAUCUAUUGAUACCAUAUUGUAGUAUUGAGUAUGCAAGAAGAAAAAUAUUCAAUGUUGAAUCAAAGGGAGGCAUGUAACAAUCAAAAUAUAUGAUAGGUAUAGAUUUUGCCA